rnacentral:rRNA from 1 species
UACGGAGGGGGCUAGCGUUGUUCGGAAUUACUGGGCGUAAAGCGCACGUAGGCGGCUUUGUAAGUUAGAGGUGAAAGCCCGGGGGCUCAACUCCGGAAUUGCCUUUAAGACUGCAUCGCUAGAAAUUUGUGGAGAGGUAAGUGGAAUUCCGAGUGUAGAGGUGAAAUUCGUAGAUAUUCGGAAGAACACCAGUGGCGAAGGCGACUUACUGGACACAUAUUUGACGCUGGAGGUGCGAAAGCGUGGGGAGCAAACAGG